rnacentral:lncRNA from 1 species
UUCUGGCACACGUUUCAGGAAGUCCAUCUGCUCCUGCUGUUCCUCUGACCUUUUGUCAGAACCCUCCCUAAACUGGAAAGAAACUGCCAGAAAUAAGCUAAAGCCAAACCAACUUAGACGCUUAUCUUCAAACCAAGUCAAAUUUGCAAGUCCUAGGCUAGGCCCUGAUAAUGAAUUCAGAACACAGGAAAUUUACCAUUUGGCUGUCUGAAAAUAGAAUUCCACUACAGAGACACCUCUCCCACAAAGGAAAAAAGAGGCUGGACUUUUCAUCUUCUUCACACUAUUGACAUUAAUACUCUAUAUUAAUAUGACAAGGGAAGGAGCUGGGGUGACUGAUGCUUCGCCUGAGGUCCUACAGCGUUAACACUGAAGGUGAAACUGAUUCCUUCCUGGCUUCACAGCCCAUGUACUUCAUUCUAGAGUAAGCUUCAAUUGUUGUGUUAAAAUUUUAUGUCGGUAUGCAAAAAGUAUAUUACACAAGCAUGUCUGUAUUUCUGAUUACAGAGUUUUACUUUGUUUCGUCCAUAAACAUUUCCUGG